GAUGAACGCUGGCGGCGUGCCUAAUACAUGCAAGUCGAGCGAACAGACGAGGCACUUGCUCCUCUGACUUUAGCGGCGCACGCGUGAGUAACAUGUGGAUAACAUACCUAUAAGACUGGGAUAACUUCCGGAAACCGGAGCUAAAACCCGAUAAUCUAUUCAACACCAUGGCUCAAUAGUUAAAGACGGUUUUGCUGUGACUUAUACCUGAAUGCGCGCGGCAUUAGCUAGUUGGUAAGGUAACGGCUUACCAAGGCAACGAUGCGUAGCAGACCUGAGAGGGUGACCGGCCACACUGGAACUGAGACACGGUCCAGACUCCUACGGGAGGCAGCAGUAGGGAAUCUUCCGCAAUGGGCGAAAGCUUGACGGAGCAAUGCCGCGUGAGUGAUGAAGGCCUUCGGGUUGUAAAGUUCUGUUAUCAGGGAGGAACAAAGGUGUAUGUAACUAUGCACGCAUUGACGGUACCUACACAGAAAGCCCCGGCUAACUACGUG
rnacentral:rRNA from 1 species